CAGAGGUCUGUCAAGCUUCGCAUACACAUUUAUCCAGUAGUCACAAAAAUGCUAGAUCAGACACAAUGGCAGUCAAAGGAGCCUAAAAUAACCCAAUACAACUUGAGCUUCUUACAGUACUUUGUCUCCCCACAGGUCUAGAUAAUCCAAUCAGUAAAAUUCAAACAACCUGAAAGCUCCCAAAUACAAAUGUGACCUCUUUGAAGAAACUUCAGUUCACAACUUAAUGUAACACUUAUAUACUUUUUGGUCACUGUUCAUUACAAGCAUAAGUUUUCCUCAUUUAUUAAUCUGUGUAACAGAGAUAGGCUUACUUCACAGGGCAGCUGGGAGUAUAUGCAAAGUUCUUAGAGGUACUUGACACGUAAUUGGAUUCUUUAUUAUUUUCUUUUAUCACUUCUUAUUAAUGUGUUCUAGGCAUCUUAUGCUAUGAGAGUUUUCCAUUUUAUUGAAGGAGACUAAUGAAUAAAUGACUAACCAUCUAACAAACAGCAGUGUAUAUAAAAUAUACAUGGAUAAGACGCUCUAGAGGGCCUAAGGUAGUUUGUACAAAAUACUAAAUAAACUAGAGGGUAUAGGAAGCUACAAAGUAGAUUAAAUUGACAAGAGACUAAGGACAAAUUUGGGGAUCCCAAUGUUUAUUUUAUUUAUUUAUUUUUGUACUGGGCAUUGAGCCCAGGGAUACUUUACCAGUCCUUUUUACUUUUAUUUUGAGACAGAGUUUUGCUAA
rnacentral:lncRNA from 1 species